UAGGGAAUCUUCCGCAAUGGACGCAAGUCUGACGGAGCAACGCCGCGUGAGUGAAGAAGGAUUUCGGUUCGUAAAACUCUGUUGUUAGAGAAGAACAGCGCAUAGAGUAACUGUUAUGCGUGUGACGGUAUCUAACCAGAAAGCCACGGCUAACUACGUGCCAGCAGCCGCGGUAAUACGUAGGUGGCAAGCGUUGUCCGGAUUUAUUGGGCGUAAAGCGAGCGCAGGCGGUCAAUUAAGUCUGAUGUGAAAGCCCCCGGCUCAACCGGGGAGGGUCAUUGGAAACUGGUUGACUUGAGUGCAGAAGAGGAGAGGGGAAUUCCAUGUGGAGCGGUGAAAUGCGUAGAUAUAUGGAGGAACACCAGUGGCGAAGGCGACUCUCUGGUCUGUAACUGACGCUGAGGCUCGAAAGCGUGGGUAGCAAACAGG
rnacentral:rRNA from 1 species